GACGAACGCUGGCGGCGUGCUUAACACAUGCAAGUCGAACGGAGAUUCAGCAAUGGAUCUUAGUGGCGAACGGGUGAGUAACGCGUAGGCAAUCUGCCUUCUAGAUGGGGACAACAUCCCGAAAGGGGUGCUAAUACCGAAUGUUGUAGUGAGUCUGCAUGGACUAGCUACUAAAGGUGGCCUCUGAAUAUGCUACCGCUAGAAGAUGAGCCUGCGUCUGAUUAGCUAGUUGGAGGGGUAACGGCCCACCAAGGCAACGAGCAGGAGCCGGUCUGAGAGGAUGAAGGGCGACACUGGGACUGAGACACGGCCCAGACGCCUACGGGGGGCAGCAGUGGGGAAUCUUACGCAAUGGACGAAAGUCUGACGGAGCAACGCCGCGUGAGUGAAGAAGGUUUUCGGAUCGGAAAGCUCUGUCGUUAGGGACGAACGUGCUCUUUGUGAAUAAUGAGGAGUAAUGACGGUACCUAAAUAAGAAGCCACGGCUAACUACGUGCCAGCAGCCGCAGUAACAC
rnacentral:rRNA from 1 species